AGUGGAAUUGCUGGGUCAUAUGGUAAUUCUGUUUUUAUUUUUUUGAGAAAUCGCCACACUCUUCUCCACAAUGACUGUGCCAUUUUGUAUUCCCACCAGCAAU
rnacentral:pre_miRNA from 1 species